UACAGAAGCCUCAAGCGUUGUUCGGAAUUACUGGGCGUAAAGGGAAUGUAGGUGGUGACGUAAGUCAGAUGUGAAAGCCCCGGGCUUAACCUGGGAAGUGCAUUUGAUACUGCGUCGCUAGAGUGCGAGAGAGGAGAGCGGAAUUCCCGGUGUAGGGGUGAAAUCCGUAGAUAUCGGGAGGAAUACCAAUGGCGUAGGCAGCUCUCUGGCUCGUAACUGACACUGAGAUUCGAAAGCAUGGGUAGCAAACA
rnacentral:rRNA from 1 species